rnacentral:lncRNA from 1 species
GGGUUUUUUGCAUCUUUUUGGAAUGGUUCGGUUUUCGAGGGAUUUGUGUUUUUACUUUUUUAUCCUUUCAUAAAUAUACUGAAUUUGAUUGUUUGUAUUUUCGAUUUUUUUGUUUCCUUAUUUUUCGAAAUAGAAGUUUUUUUGUUUCCUUAUUUUUCGUUUUUUUUGUUUCCUUAUUUUUCGUUUUUUUUUUGUUUCCUUAUUUUUCGGUUAUUUAGUUUUAAAAAUUAUAUAAAUCAUAUAUUUGAGGCUUAUAUGAUUAUUUAUUCCGAAAAUUGUUUGAUUUAUAUGUUUCAAAAUUUU